CCUACGGGGUGCAGCAGUGAGGAAUAUUGGUCAAUGGGCGAGAGCCUGAACCAGCCAAGUCGCGUGAGGGAAGACGGUCCUACGGAUUGUAAACCUCUUUUGUCAGGGAGCAAGGAGCGCCACGAGUGGUGAGGCGAGAGUACCUGAAGAAAAAGCAGCGGCUAACUCCGUGCCAACAGCCUCGGUAAUACGGAGGAUGCGAGCGUUAUCCGGAUUUAUUGGGUUUAAAGGGGGCGCAGGAGGAAGCGGCAAGUCAGCGGUAAAAUUGCGGGGCUCAACCUCGCCGAGCCGUUGAAACUGCUCUUGUAGAGUGGGCGAGAAGUAUGCGGAAUGCGUGGUGUAGCGGUGAAAUGCAUAGAUAUCAUGCAGAACUCCGAUUGCGAAGGCAGCAUACCGGCGCCCAACUGACGCUCAUGCACGAAAGCGUGGGUAUCGAACAGGAUUAGAUACCCUUGUAGUC
rnacentral:rRNA from 1 species